rnacentral:miRNA from 1 species
CCCAGUGUUCAGACUACCCGUUC